UGGUGUCACAAACAAUAUUAUCCUUAUUUUGUGAUUUUUUCUUUUCUAUUAUAAAAGGUUAUAAAAUAAUGAAAAUUUGUUAAGAAAAAAAUGACUUGCAUGUAAUUAUUAAUUUUGUAUGUGUGUUACAAUAGAGGUGCUAAAGGGGCAAAUUAAGGCGUUGGUGUUCUUAAGAGAUAUGCAAUAAUUAUAUCAAUUUUAGGAAGUCUUUUAAGUUUUAACAAUUUGAAAAGUGUUAAAAAUUAUUUAAUUGAUGUAAGGAGAUUAUGAGCUUUAUAAAUCAAACGUGAUAAACUUUCAUGCAUAGGGUCAAAAAUAUGGAUAAUUUUUUUAAGUUUGUUUAUAUUAUGAUUUUUCUUUUUUCCGAAUUUCUUGUUUCAGCAUACUAUGUUCAUCCUUUCAAACCUUGUGUUUGCGAUCGUGAUUGUCCAACAUGCCCUUAUCGUGCAAUAAAGAGGUGUCGUAAAGGCGUUUGUAUGUGUCAGUAAGGAUAUGAGAAUACACAAAUGUAUUGCUAUUAUAAAUGCGUUAGUUACUGUGAUCAUCCAUUAAUUAAAUUUUCUUUUAGUUUUUUUAAUUUCAUGGACCUUGUUAGAUUUGGUAAUUUAAGAUGAUGCAUCAGGAAUGUAAAGAACCUAUUUCUUUAUUCGUUUUAAGAAAGAAAGAAAAGAUCUACCAGAAAAAUAAUAAUUGAAAGUCGGUUAACACAAUUCAAUUCUCCCCUCCCUCAUUUG